UCCCUAAUGGUCUAGUGGCUAGGAUUUAGCACUUUCACCGCUGCAGCCCUGGUUCAAUUCCUGGUUAGGGAA